CCUACGGGAGGCAGCAGUGGGGAAUAUUGCACAAUGGGGGAAACCCUGCUGCAGCGACGCCGCGUGAGGGAAGAAGGUUUUCGGAUUGUAAACCCUUGUCUAUGGUGACGAAAGAUGACGGUAGCCAAAGAGGAAGCUACGGCUAACUACGUGCCAGCAGCCGCGGUAAUACGUAGGUGGCAAGCGGUGUCCGGAAUUACUGGGGGUACAGGGAGCGUAGGCGGGUAGACAAGUUGAAGGUUUAAACUAGAGGCGCAACCGAAAAUCGCGGUCAAAACUGGUUUUCUUGAGUGAAGGAGAGGCAGGCGGAAUGCCUGGUGUAGCGGUGAAAUGCGUAGAUAUUAGGAGGAACACCGGUGGCGAAGGCGGCCUGCUGGCUUUUAACUGACGCUGAGGCUCGAAAGCGUGGGUAGCAAACAGGAUUAGAUACCCGGGUAGUC
rnacentral:rRNA from 1 species